GGCUGUAUAGUGUAAUGAAUAGCACGCUCCAUUGAAUUUUCUCUUUAAAGGAGAGAUGUCGGUUCAAAUCCGACUACAGCCC